rnacentral:rRNA from 1 species
UCGGGAAUUUUGGGCAAUGGGCGAAAGCCUGACCCAGCAACGCCGCGUGAAGGAUGAAGUUUUUCGGAAUGUAAACUUCGUAAGAAUAGGAAGAAUAAAUGACGGUACUAUUUGUAAGGUCCGGCUAACUACGUGCCAGCAGCCGCGGUAAUACGUAGGGACCAAGCGUUGUUCGGAUUUACUGGGCGUAAAGGGCGCGUAGGCGGCAAUUCAAGUCAGCUGUGAAAUCUCCGGGCUUAACUCGGAACGGUCAGCUGAUACUGUUUUGCUAGAGUGCAGAAGGGGCAAUCGGAAUUCUUGGUGUAGCGGUGAAAUGCGUAGAUAUCAAGAGGAACACCUGAGGUGAAGACGGGUUGCUGGGCUGACACUGACGCUGACAGCGCGAAAGCUAGGGUAGCAAACGG